rnacentral:lncRNA from 10 species
GGCUUGCUAUAUCAGGCCUGCAUCAAGGGUCUCAUGGAGACAUAGGCAAAUAACAGGGCCUCUGAGAAACCCAAUUCUCCUUCCUUUUUUUUUUUUUUUUUUUUGAGACAGAGUCUCACUCUGUCACCUAGGCUGGAGUGCAGUGGCGCAAUUCUGGCUCACUGCAACCUCUGCCUCCCUGGGUCAAGCGAUUCUCCUGCCUCAGCCUCCCGAGUAGCUGGGAUUACAGCCGUGCGCCACCACGCCCGGCUAAUUUUUGUAUUUUUAGUAGAGACAGGGUUUCACCAUGCUGGCCAGGCUGGUCUCGAACUCCUGGCCUCAUGACCUGCCUGCCUCCGCCUCCCAAAGUGCUGGGGUUACAGGCGUGAGCCACCGCGCCCAGCCUAUUCUCCUUCUUUCUAAAUCCCCUGCUGGAAGGGUCUAGGAAGCAGAUCUGAUGGCACCUCCCUGGCCCGAGCCCCCUCUCCUGCACCCAGUCCCCAAGGCCUCACCAUGGUGAAGUAGCCGG